rnacentral:lncRNA from 1 species
UUCUGUUCACGGCCAGUUGUUCCUCUUCCGCAGUACAAAGUUUAGACGAUCUUACAUUUUCGUCCAUAGCAUUUUGCGCUGUUAUCUACCUAGUGGUUUUGUGUUUGUGGUUAGCUUCGUCCAAUACAUGGUCAAUUCGUACAAAUGUUUCGAAGGUCUUCGGUUGAUGAUGGGAUCUUCGUUAAAAUGGAGAGAUUUUUGGCUGUGAUAGCGGGGGCGACGUUGUGAUUGCCUGGAACAGGCAAAUCCAGCGGACCUCAAUCAAAACGCACAAAUGCUUUAGAUAAGCAGAAGGAAAUUGAGCGAGUAGCGGAGCUCCUCGCUUAACCUAUGCCUAAUCGGCUAAUUUAUGACUGCCUGCCCGUUCGCUCAAUAGGCAAACAGAUGAAGUGACAAAUACCACCUUGGACCGAUGACUAGCUGAUGAUCGUGAAGUCUAAGGGAGUCCGGUGUGAGCGAUGAUAAGACCAUGUUGCUCCCAUCUUAAGCGUAUGUUCCGUCAGAGAACUGUUACACCACAUGAAGUUACAAAAAACAAAUCACGAUACCAUCUUUGAUGCAAACUUUAGCCAGGCUGAUAGGAACCAUUUGUAUCAAAGAUGGCCUACUGAUUGACCGCGCAUCCAUUGAUAAGUGUGGCCCUUUUUCAAUUGGUUUACACAAAUGUACUUUCUGUUGGUUCUGUGGAGCUGCAACAACUGCCGCUGUAGACGACGCAACGACGUUAAUAGAGGGUAGAAGGACACAGAGAAAUGCCCUUAAGGUAAUAUUCGCUUGCUGUAUGGAUCCGCUAACGCAGAGCAGUGUUUGAUGAGGCCUACGAUCCGGUGAGACCUUCCGAAGCGUUCUCCUCAACCUCGGCGGUAUCAAGCGACUAGCUCAGGCAGCGUGACGAAUUUAAUUUUACAAUGAGCCGUGAAAACUUUUAGAAAGCGAAAAACAUUGGUUUCAAGAUAUACUUGUAACGAAACUUCGAGACGUUUCUGAGUGGUGGCCAAAACCAGUCGGCCUUUUCUCGUGCAACACCCCACAAGACGAACGCUACCCCCAACGAUUUCGUUAUGCUUACUCGCUACAGAAAUCAAACAACACGGGGGAGCAAGAAGGGUUUCCAGAUGAUCGAAUAACCAAGUGAAAAGCUGAAAGCUAAAUUCCCUGGAAAUUCGCCAAGAAUUCUAAUAACAACAAAACAGAAAAAUCUUCUAGCCUCGUACUCCAAAGCAUUGUUACUCUCCAGUCAGUGGCCGAAUUGUAGCACGAGAAAAGCAAGGCCCUUUAUGUAGUAGUUUACCUGGAUUUAGGCUUCGUAAUCUGAAUGAACCUUCGAAGAAGGACGGGGCUACGACCACGUACAAGGGGAAUAGUUAGGAAGCGGUUCAUUGGCGCGUGAGUAAAGGCUCAACAAUCCCGUAAUGGUGAUAUCAAUAAAAAGAAAAAAACGUCAAAGAGAUAUCGCAUUUAAUCCAAUGUCAGGAGAGAAGUUCGUCUGCGAAACUUGGAAAGGCUUCACAAGUAGGUAACUGUGCAGACCUUAUCAGAUUGAUCUAGUAUGCGUUCAUACAAUCGCAAGCAACGAAGAGUUCAGGCUACGCGCUUUUGGUCUUCUCUUGGCGUUGGGAAGAAAAGCCUACAGCUCAAGCCAAUCCGCUCAACGAUUUUGUCGUUGACCGACACGAUUUUCGUCGUCAAAAGAUCAGCAGUAAUCACUCGAGGAAAAAGCGUCUUAUACUGCAGAAGCAAUUAGUAGAAACAAUGAAAGUUGAACAGAGCCUCACCUAGAUAAUGUUUGCCCUAAUCUCGUCACAGAAGAUUAACACCUAGAUGAGAAUUCGCAAAAUCGUCAAAUAUUCCUCACAAAUCAUCUGAGCAAAACUCGACUUUUCAUAUUUAUUUCUAACUACUGAGUGAUCUCUUUAGCAAAUGGAGAGCAAAUGUAGAAGGUACACGAUCAAGCUCUAAAGAUCUUCUUCCGAGUAACGAUAGUUUCGCUGACCUUUAUCCAAAGAUCAAGGGAACCGCCUACUAACGAUCUUCUAAUACAACAGCCAUGUGCUGGCUGCGCAGUUUUUGUCCAUCGACAAAUCGAUGUCUUGACAAGGUCACAGCUUAUUUUAGUGCAGUAGGUUGCUAGGAAACUACUUGUAACGUUUUUCUAAAUCACGAUAAAGUUCAAUAGAACAAUGAGUCUACGAAACGAAGCGCCAAGGGCCGCCAUAUUUGAACUCACUGUAUAUACUCGGAUCUAUUGAUGACCGCGAUAUAACUGCAAGCCCCAAUAAAAAAGAGACAUCUUUGCUCGUCAUCUAACUGAUAUCGUUAAAUAGUAAGA